ACACAACUCUGGAGAGUCCCGCAAGGGCGCCGAAGGUGCACGAUGGCCGCACGCCAUCUUAUCUCUCAGGCAAAAGGACAGAGUCU
rnacentral:ncRNA from 1 species